rnacentral:lncRNA from 1 species
AAAGAAAACCCUUGUAGCGCUGCCUCCAUCAGUCGAUGCCCGACCACUAUGCACACCUUCUUCUCGCCGCUAUCGUCAAUCUCCUUCCAUCACAUAGCCUCUCAUCCAGCCUCUUCGUCUUCGUCCAUCACUGUUCACCCUGAGUUCUCUGUCCUCUGCUGGUUUCUUUAGGGGGAUGUUUGCUAGUUUUAGAAUGGUAACCAAAAAACAGCUUUCAUCUAAUUCAAGAAAAUUAUAAUUUGUUUAAGGCUACCCUAGGAGAGAAGUACGUACAAUUUGGUGUGGUUUGAUAUCUAACUUUGGAACAACAUGGCUUCAGGGGUCUCGUUGUAUUAAAAUAGUUGUUUUAUGAUGGAGGAGAUUUUCUUCCAUCCUUCAUUCCAUGAUAAAAGUUGUAUCCUUUGGCUCUGUGCUUUCUUUGCAAUUUUCCAACUUAAUUACCUAGUUGAGAUUUUUAAUGAUUUUGAGAUGUUAUAGGAGGAAUAUGUUUGGUCUGAAUUCGUCUUCGUCUCAAUCUGAAGCCUCCACUAUUCGUUCACCGUCUCCCUCUUCGUCUCAAUUCAAAGCUGCCACUGUUCACCAUGGAGCUUUUGGUGAUAUUUUUUAUUUUUUGGGUUGUAAUUGUGUGUGGUAAAUUUUAUUUAAUUACAUCUUAUUUUAGUUUAUUGAAUAAUUGUAUUUAUAAUUCAAGUUUUUUAACGGCAUUGUUCGAACAAUUUAUUUUUCAUAUUUUAUGUUUUGCUAUUUAGUUAAUUUAAA